rnacentral:rRNA from 1 species
AUUGAACGCUGGCGGCAGGCCUAACACAUGCAAGUCGAGCGGAGCGGCGGACGGGUGAGUACUGCCUAGGAAUCUGCCUGGUAGUGGGGUAUCACGUCCGGAAACGGGCGCUUAUACCGCAUACUAUAAAAUGAGCUUAGGUCGGAUUAGCUAGUUGGUGGGGUAAAGGCCUACAAAGGCGACGAUGCGUAACUGGGCUGAGAGGAUGAUCAGUCACACUGGAAUGGAGACACGGUCCAGACUCCUACGGGAGGCAGCAGUGGGGAAUAUUGGACAAUGGGCGAAAGUCUGAUCCAGCAAUGCCGCGUGUGUGAAGAAGGUCUUCGGAUUGUAAAGCACUUUAAGUUGGGAGGCGGUACCAACAGAAUAAGCACCGGCUAACUUCGUGCCAGCAGCCGCGGUAAUAC